rnacentral:tRNA from 1 species
UAUAAUUAAGUGUAUCGGCACAAAGAUUUUUGAUAUCUUAAGAAAAGUUUAACCUUUAAAUUAUAA